ensembl:snoRNA small nucleolar RNA, C/D box 7
AAGCAAUGAUGAGCGAAGUAUACUCUGAACUGGUAUUGCUGAGACUUUGUGUCUUUGCUCUGACCAGGGCAUGAUCAUGUAAUCUUCUCUCUGAGCUU